ACCGGGGUUGCGGACAGUGUCUGGUGGGUAGUUUGACUGGGGCGGUCUCCUCCCAAAGCGUAACGGAGGAGCACGAAGGUUAGCUAAUCCUGGUCGGACAUCAGGAGGUUAGUGCAAUGGCAUAAGCUAGCUUGACUGCGAGCGUGACGGCGCGAGCAGGUGCGAAAGCAGGUCAUAGUGAUCCGGUGGUUCUGAAUGGAAGGGCCAUCGCUCAACGGAUAAAAGGUACUCCGGGGAUAACAGGCUGAUACCGCCCAAGAGUUCAUAUCGACGGCGGUGUUUGGCACCUCGAUGUCGGCUCAUCACAUCCUGGGGCUGAAGUAGGUCCCAAGGGUAUGGCUGUUCGCCAUUUAAAGUGGUACGCGAGCUGGGUUUAGAACGUCGUGAGACAGUUCGGUCCCUAUCUGCCGUGGGCGCUGGAGAAUUGAGGGGGGCUGCUCCUAGUACGAGAGGACCGGAGUGGACGCAUCACUGGUGUUCGGGUUGUCAUGCCAAUGGCACUGCCCGGUAGCUAAAUGCGGAAGAGAUAAGUGCUGAAAGCAUCUAAGCACGAAACUUGCCCCGAGAUGAGUUCUCCCUGAGACUUUAAGUCUCCUGAAGGAACGUU
rnacentral:rRNA from 2 species